AUCCAGUUGACGAGUCCCAAAUAGGACGGAACGCGUGUCGAACUGGAU
rnacentral:hammerhead_ribozyme from 1 species